rnacentral:rRNA from 1 species
ACGCUCGACACCUACUGGAGGCAGCAGUGAGGAAUAUUGGUCAAUGGGCGCUAGCCUGAACCAGCCAAGUAGCGUGAAGGAUGAAGGCUCUAUGGGUCGGUAAACUUCUUUUAUAUAAGAAUAAAGUGCAGUAUGUAUACUGUUUUGUAUGUAUUAUAUGAAUAAGGAUCGGCUAACUCCGUGCCAGCAGCCGCGGUAAUCUGAGCGGGCUGGCAAGGC